CAGUCGCCGCGGGAAUACGUAGGUGGCAAGCGUUGUCCGGAAUUAUUGGGCGUAAAGGGCUCGCAGGCGGUUUCUUAAGUCUGAUGUGAAAGCCCCCGGCUCAACCGGGGAGGGUCAUUGGAAACUGGGAAACUUGAGUGCAGAAGAGGAGAGUGGAAUUCCACGUGUAGCGGUGAAAUGCGUAGAGAUGUGGAGGAACACCAGUGGCGAAGGCGACUCUCUGGUCUGUAACUGACGCUGAGGAGCGAAAGCGUGGGGAGCGGACAGGAUUAGAUACCCCAGUAGUCCCUGUCUCUUAUAC
rnacentral:rRNA from 1 species